AGGAGCAGCAGACUCUCCGCUGAGCAGUGAUCCGCAUGAGUUUCAUCCCACGAACCCUGGGAUCAUGACCUGAGCGGAAGGCAGACACUUAACCGACUGAGCCACCCAGGCGUCCCUGAAUUGUAUUAAAUUCUUACAUUCAUAUGAGAAACGAUGGGAAAUGUGCUACUAAGUACUUCAUCCAGGAGCAUGGGACUUCAGUUCUUCGGAGUUACUAUAAUUCACUUCAUAAUAAUGAAGUUCCAGAUAUAUUCAACACAUCAAGAAAGCAUUGCCUGAUUGGAUUUCAGAAAGGAUUCUACACCUCAGAGCACAUGUUGGCACCUUUUGAAAGAUCCAGAAAUCUACAUGUUGGACAUGAAUCUUGGGCUCUAUUGCUGUAAAUGCACCUUCCACAAAUGGUUUUCUGUAAUAUCCAUUUCUCAGUUCGCAGAGAUCCUGAAUUCUAUCCAUUGACCCUUGGGAGUUUGUUUGGAACCUUGAUGAGGUUGGGCGUGGAGGUGGAAGCCCAAGCUGCUUCUCUGAGGAUGGCUGGGGGCUGGCAGAGGCAGGUGCUGCUGCCCAAACAUGGCUUUACAAGAGCCCACACGGCUUGAAUGACCACAGUAUGACCAGAGAUCGGUGAAUCUCAGAAGAGCUGUGAUCCUUUUAAAGACUGGAUUUCUCUGUUGGAGUCAUGAA